UACGGGGGGGGCAAGCGUUGUUCGGAAUUACUGGGCGUAAAGGGCUUGUAGGCGGCCAACUAAGUCAGACGUGAAAUCCCCAGGCUCAACCUGGGAACUGCGUCUGAUACUGGAUGGCUUGAAUUCGGGAGAGGGAUGCAGAAUUCCAGGUGUAGCGGUGAAAUGCGUAGAUAUCUGGAGGAAUACCGGUGGCGAAGGCGGCAUCCUGGACCGACAUUGACGCUGAGGAGCGAAAGCGUGGGGAGCGAACAGG
rnacentral:rRNA from 1 species